rnacentral:lncRNA from 1 species
CUAAACUUGAGUUUACUCAAAUCGUAACAUUACUAUUCUACCCAAAUUUAACUUAAAUAAGUUUAAAAGAUGUAAUAGGCCAAUUUUGGCCUGGGCCCAAGACCCAAAUAUAAAACCAAAAAGAAAAAACAAAAUAGUCCAUUUUACAAAACAAACAGCAAGACUAUUUUCCAUAUUGAAUGGCCCAAACCUAAACCCAAAUUACCCAAACAAUAAAAAACCCUAAAGCCCAAGUCAGCCCAAACACCUAAACAAAACAGCAAACCCUAGCACCCUAGGCCUCCCCUUUGACCAGAACCGUACGUCAGCAGGCCACCUCGCGUGCCGCCCCUCCACGCACGCCUGCGCGUCUAACACCUGCAACAAUUGAAUGCAACAACAGAAAACAACACAGAAGAAACAAGCAGAAAGAAACAAAAAAUAGAAACCAAGAGUUGUUUAAAUCGGCCAUAAAAGCCCGAACUUCUUCUUUACAAUUUUUUUACACGCAUUAGAGAAUAAAAAAGAAAACAAAAUUACAAAGAGGUGAUAUAUUUUUAUCUGUAACUGUUUUGCUUUUUUUUGUUAUUUUUUAUUUUUUGUUUGUAAAUGAAACUAAACAUAAAGUAAAAAUUUUAAAAAUCUUCCUUACCUCUUCGGGAUCUCACCGUCUUGGAUGAAGGAGGGUGUCAUCCCCGAUGAUGGACGGUUUAAAUUCGGCGAGGCAACCGAGAAACAAAAGGGUUUCCUUUGGAUUUUACCAUUUGUGGUCAAGUUUUGACGAAAACCAACCUCAAAUCAGGCUUAGGUAGAUUAAAACGGCCCUAAGGGCCUUUUUUUGGAAUCCAACCGCCGUAUACGGUGGUCACCAUCGCUGGCGGCCAUGGCGGAUGAACGAGGCCCGAUAGGCAGGAUGUGGGGGGGAGUUUUGAGUGGAUGAGAGACUUAGAGUUUUUUAUUAGAUUUUUUUUGGGUGUGAGGGCUGGA